rnacentral:rRNA from 1 species
CCCUUAGAGUUUGAUCCUGGCUCAGGAUGAACGCUAGCUACAGGCUUAACACAUGCAAGUCGAGGGGAAACGACAUCGAAAGCUUGCUUUUGAUGGGCGUCGACCGGCGCACGGGUGAGUAACGCGUAUCCAACCUGCCCAUCACUUGGGGAUAACCUUGCGAAAGUAAGACUAAUACCCAAUGAUAUCUCUAGAAGACAUCUGAAAGGGAUUAAAGAUUUAUCGGUGAUGGAUGGGGAUGCGUCUGAUUAGCUUGUUGGCGGGGUAACGGCCCACCAAGGCGACGAUCAGUAGGGGUUCUGAGAGGAAGGUCCCCCACAUUGGAACUGAGACACGGUCCAAACUCCUACGGGAGGCAGCAGUGAGGAAUAUUGGUCAAUGGGCGAGAGCCUGAACCAGCCAAGUAGCGUGCAGGAUGACGGCCCUAUGGGUUGUAAACUGCUUUUAUAAGGGAAUAAAGUGAGCCUCGUGAGGCUUUUUGCAUGUACCUUAUGAAUAAGGACCGGCUAAUUCCGUGCCAGCAGCCGCGGUAAUACGGAAGGUCCGGGCGUUAUCCGGAUUUAUUGGGUUUAAAGGGAGCGUAGGCCGGAGAUUAAGCGUGUUGUGAAAUGUAGAUGCUCAACAUCUGCACUGCAGCGCGAACUGGUUUCCUUGAGUACGCACAAAGUGGGCGGAAUUCGUGGUGUAGCGGUGAAAUGCUUAGAUAUCACGAAGAACUCCGAUUGCGAAGGCAGCUCACUGGAGCGCAACUGACGCUGAAGCUCGAAAGUGCGGGUAUCGAACAGGAUUAGAUACCCUGGUAGUCCGCACGGUAAACGAUGGAUGCCCGCUGUUGGUCUGAAUAGGUCAGCGGCCAAGCGAAAGCAUUAAGCAUCCCACCUGGGGAGUACGCCGGCAACGGUG